CAUUAUAGUUGAAAGGGAGGAGGAAGCAAAUGAGAAGGAAGAAGAGAGUGCAGAAAGAGGAAUAAAUUUCCCGCCAUAGUUGAAAAGGAGGAGGAAGAAAAUGAGAAGAGGAAGUGAAGAAAGGAGGAAUAAUAAAGGAGAGUUUUUGAUUAGCUGAAGGAGCUGGUUCACAGACGAAGACAGCCGGUCCAAAAGAUGAGCGUUCCAUUCAUUCCAGAGGAGCCAAAUUACUAGCAUGAAGCGUAUCAAAACCCAUCCGUCGUUCCUUCGCUUGUAGGCGGCGGCUAUGGUCCAUUCCUGCAGGGUUGACUGUCCUAGAACAAAAGAGCAGUUGCAAUCCAUCCAACUUAUUGACCGCAUUCCACCAUGCCUGCUUGGCGUAGGAGCAACUAAGAUACGGGGGAUACUGCAUUGCUGCCUUACUAACUAGCAAGGUUCUCUCACACUAUCGCGAUGCACUAAAAAGCAAGAUUCUAACUGUGCAUGAUUCAUAGCCUUCUCUUCGGACCAUAUAAGCACUGAAGCACAUUGUGUUUCUAUAUACUAUGCUCUGAUUUCUAACUGUUGUAGCCACAGCCAUUGUGGUAUAUCACUUAUGCUAGGACCAUGUAUCAGUCAAAAACAACCAUCCUAAAAGAUUCGACAAGAACAUUGAGUGCGGA